ACAUGGUUCUGGUUUUUCUUGAAUGCUGGCUUUAGGGAUGAAUUUCAAUAUUAUUUUUCCUAUAUCGUUCCAAUUCCUGAAGCUUUAUCAGUUAAAGUUUAAAGCUUUGCAUGUGGAACAGAAGGGACAGCUGAGGAGCUUUGAAAUCCAUAAACCCAUUAGCUUAGAACUUGAAUUUCAUGGUUUUCUUUUGGCAUUCUAUUAAAAAAAGUAGUUUGUUUUGGUUGUUGCUAGUGAUUGGCAAUAUGGGUAUGGUUUAAGAUUUCUCAUUUUAGUUUAGGAAUUUCAGAAGCUAUUAUGUUGCUUGUAUUAAUUAGCUUUUUGGUUGUUGGUGCCAAUGGGAAAUCAGGGUAUGGUUUUAAAAAAAAAUUAGGCUAAAUAUUCUUUUGGUCUUAAAAUAUAGCCUGGGUUUUAUUUUCAUCCUCAAAAUUGAAAAAAGAGUUUCUAUAUUUUAACUUUCCUUUCACUCUUAUUAAGUUCUAAUUUUCAGUAACAAUAUAAAGCCUUGAUAUUUCAGGUAAAUAGAAUACUACAGUAUUUGUCUCUAAGAUAUAGUGUAGUUUCUAAUUUUGUCCCUAAAAUAUGUAUUCUGAACAAAAAAAUUUCAAGAAAAUGGACCAUGGGACGAAAUGAAUGGCAAUACAACUUUUUUAAUUUUAGUGAUGAAGAUAGAACAUGUACUGUAUAUAUAUUUCCUUUCUUUUAGGUGUAGGAAUAGCAGAAACUACAAUGGUGAAAAACUGCUCAGGUAAUUUUCCGAGUACCCAGAACUAUUAGGGUAACCUUUGAAGAUUUUAACUGGAUUCUUAAUGGCAUAAACUAGCAUAAUGCUUGAGUUCUCUAUCUCUUUUGUUUGGUAAGUCGUACAAGCACUUAUUUGUAGGUUCCCAAGAAUUCAUCGUCCACCCAAUCUUGUGGGGGAGGAAGUACCAUUUGAGCCAGGCUUUGUUGGCUAGCAAUAGCAUAGAAGAGUUUGCUUUAUCUUUAUUAUUUGCUCAGGUGAUGUUCGGUUUGAAAUUUUUUCUGGCAAUUUUCUCAGGUGAUGUUUGUGGUUUAAAUUCAGAUUUUCGUUAAGGUGGUUGGUGUGUGGGUGUGUGUGUGUAUAUAUAUGCUUAACUUGACAUAAAACAUUCCCAUGCUUUAUGCUGUUACAAAUAUGGCAAUGAUGAGCCUGGGGGUGAAUUUGCAUAUGCUAAUACCUCCAUUGAUGAAGAAACACUAGGACUGCUAAUUGCAAAACAUUAACAUAUGAUUAAUGAAUUGCUUCUAAUGAAGGGCAAAGACUAAUCCAUCUAAUUUCUUGUAUGGCCAUUAUGGCUGGGCAAAUUAUUUGGUUUCUAUGCUACUUCUAGAAACUCUUACUGAAGGUAUUCAAUUAGUUCAAUGGUAAACAUGUUUUCUAAUUAUUCAAAUCAUGUUAGUUUUCUUGCAUAUGAUUGUGAGGUGGAGAGAAAAAAUGAAGAGAAAUGUCUACUUAGUUGCUCAUUAAAAAUUGGUUUGGGACCAUUUAGUUUGUCGGCUUUAGGAGCCAUCAUUCUUUAUCUAGUUUAUGGGCUACAAGAUGUUCACUCAAAAUACCUUAUGUAUAUCUCUCUAUAAGUGGAUAGAAUUGAAAUUUAAUUAGCAAAGUAAUUGUGAAUACAUAAGUAGUUUCCUCAAAAAUCCUCCAUUAUAGUAUCUCAUUGGUUUAUUAAGAUCAUAUAGUGUUUUCUCAACCAUUAUUUCUUGGGGUCUGCUUUGGGGCUAGAAGGUGCUCACUCAAAACAAUUUUAUGUAUGUAUCUGUAUACGCACAAAAAAAGUGGAACUCAACUAGCUAAGUAAUUGUGAAUGCAUUACUAGUUUCCUCAAACAUCCUCCCCGAUAGUAGCUCAUUGCACACGAAGAUCUAGUAAUAUUUAUGAACUAUUAUUUCCUUGGCAGGUUCUCUUUGAUCAAGAGAGCAUUACUGUCUAGCAUGGUAUGAACAAUGAACUUUUUAAGUAUUUGGAAAGCCUUGUUGGAAAUAUGUACCUUGAGUGGUUUCUGCUGCCACUUAGUUUGCCAAAUUGGUUGGUAUUAUUUGCACUAUAUUCAUGAGUCAUUGACAAAUGCAGAUUUGUCUUCAAUAUUGUUGUUGCUACUAUUGUAUGGUCAGACUGAGACAUAUGACCACCCAUUGUAUGCUAUUUCAUAGAGUUGAAGGUUUCUACCUUUUCCAAUGGAUACAUUCUUUGGGCAGCAUCUCUGUUUAAAGUCAUGCCCUUGUCAGAAAUGACUUCAUCCGAUGGUGAGAAUUAAUUACAUAAUUUCAUUCAAGUACAGUAUAUGCCAUGAGCAAUAUGCUGGCCUUAAUCUUGUUUAUUGGUUUUAGUCUUUUGACCUUCUUUGCGGCUAAAAUUUUUAUCCUUGCAGUAUGUACAAACAUAUAUCUGUUUCUUCUUGAUUGUGGCUAAACAAAUCUGGAUAAAUACAGGCUGGACGAAUAAGGAACCCUUCCAAAGUAUGAUCCUAGAAGGCUUUUGUGUAAGAUUAUUGAUUUGGAACUUGCAUUGUGUGUGGUUAAUCAUUACCUUGCACUCAAGAGGAUUGUUAUCAAUCCAUCCCUCAAGCCUUAGUGCGAUGGCAAAUGCCUUCCACCAAAAGCGAUAGGUUGCAGGUUCGAGUCCAAGAAUCAGCCUCUCUAAAAUAUUGAGGGUAACGUUGCCUACCACGAAUUCUUCCAAAUCCUGCAAAAAUGGGAGUUUUGUGCACUAGAUAUGACUUUUUUUUAUAUAAACGCUUAAAAUAGAUUUGGUCCAAGGCCUUUUAUGUAUGUCAAUGGGAAACCGCAGGUUUAGUGCUUAGUAACAUUCAUAAUGCAAACUUUUAUAUUCAACAGCAGGCUUCAAGUACAAAGGAUCUGGUUAUAUGGAGUUUUGGUCAUAUGAAUCAAUCAAAAUCGGGUGUAAAGGCGUGAAAGGUUUGAAACUUUGAUAUCAGUGUAUUUCUGAGUGUCUUUUAAUGUAUUAUUGGCAGUAGUUGGAUAAUGGAGUUGAAGUUAGUUUGCUGUGGUGUGAAUGCUUGGGCUUAGUUUCGCUGAAAGCAAUCAAAACUCUUCUUCUUAAGGACUUUGUCUUGAGUGAUUAUACAAUUGAUAUAUAUAUAUAUAUAUAUCCAGGUGCCCAUUGCUUGAGAUUAUGUUUAACAGGCUUAAGUUAGCUAUUCUCCAUGUGCUGUUAAUUAGUAGCAGAUAAUGUAUAAAUAGCUCUAGUGCUGAACAUAUACUGUACUGAUUCAUUUAUCUCAUUUGAUCAAUAUACAGAACUUCUAUUCUUCUCAAAAAAAAAAAAAAAAAAAAUCA